ensembl:lncRNA novel transcript
AGAGCAAGAAAAUGGAAACAUGUUCUUCUACGAACUGUGGAACAAGGAGGGAUCUCAGAAGACAUGUAGUAACUUCUUUUAAUAACUACCUGUGUCACUUUGGGCAAGAUUUGCACUUUGAUGAAUGCCAUCCUGGAGCUCCUAGAAACCAGUGCCAUGAGUAAAGCCAGCCUGGAAGAGAAAAGAUCUAAGCCCAGCUAUGACUGUGUCUGUCACUUGAGUUUCUUAAUAAGACCCUACAUGACCUGAAUUACAUGAGUCCCUUCUCUACUCCUUUUCUGUUCAAGCCAGUUUCAGUUAAAUUUCCAUGUUUGUUACUUGCAACUAAAAGCCCUAAAGGAGAAAUGAUAUCUUAUAAUAAUGGACUCUAUCAUUUGUAUGAACUUUCUAUCUAUAAAUGUGAUGGCCUUUGAUGACUUCUAAUUGUUAUUUCAAGUCACACGAAAAAAUGCAGAACAGCC